rnacentral:tRNA from 1 species
GUUGUUGUGACCGAGUGGUUAAGGCGAUGGAUUCGAAAUCCAUUGGGGUUUCCCUGCGCAGGUUCAAAUCCUGCCGACAACG